rnacentral:rRNA from 1 species
UGUGCCAGCAGCCGCGGUAAUACAGAGGGUGCAAGCGUUAAUCGGAAUUACUGGGCGUAAAGCGAGCGUAGGUGGCUUGAUAAGUCAGAUGUGAAAUCCCCGGGCUUAACCUGGGAACUGCAUCUGAUACUGUUAGGCUAGAAUAGGUGAGAGGAAAGGUAGAAUUCCAGGUGUAGCGGUGAAAUGCGUAGAGAUCUGGAGGAAUACCGAUGGCGAACGCAGCCUUCUGGCAUCAUACUGACACUGAGGUUCGAAAGCGUGGGUAGCAAACAGGAUUAGAUACCCUGGUAGUCCACGCCGUAAACGAUGUCUACUAGUCGUUGGGUCCCUUGAGGACUUAGUGACGCAGCUAACGCAAUAAGUAGACCGCCUGGGGAGUACGGCCGCAAGGUUAAAACUCAAAUGAAUUGACGGGGGCCCGCACAAGCGGUGGAGCAUGUGGUUUAAUUCGAUGCAACGCGAAGAACCUUACCUGGUCUUGACAUAUCUAGAAUCCUGCAGAGAUGCGGGAGUGCCUUCGGGAAUUAGAAUACAGGUGCUGCAUGGCUGUCGUCAGCUCGUGUCGUGAGAUGUUGGGUUAAGUCCCGCAACGAGCGCAACCCUUGUCCUUAGUUACCAGCGGGUUAAGCCGGGGAACUCUAAGGAUACUGCCAGUGACAAACUGGAGGAAGGCGGGGACGACGUCAAGUCAUCAUGGCCCUUACGACCAGGGCUACACACGUGCUACAAUGGUAGGUACAGAGGGCAGCUACACAGCGAUGUGAUGCGAAUCUCAAAAAGCCUAUCGUAGUCCAGAUUGGAGUCUGCAACUCGACUCCAUGAAGUAGGAAUCGCUAGUAAUCGCGGAUCAGAAUGCCGCGGUGAAUACGUUCCCGGGCCUUGUACACACCGCCCGUCACACCAUGGGAGUUGAUUGCACCAGAAGUGGAUAGCCUAACCUUCGGGAAGGCGUUCACCACGGUGUGGUUGAUGACUGGGGUGAAGUCGUAACAAGGUAACCGA